GACGAACGCUGGCGGCGUGCUUAACACAUGCAAGUCGAACGGAAAGGCCCUGCUUUUGUGGGGUGCUCGAGUGGCGAACGGGUGAGUAACACGUGAGUAACCUGCCCUUGACUUUGGGAUAACUUCAGGAAACUGGGGCUAAUACCGGAUAGGAGCUCCUGCUGCAUGGUGGGGGUUGGAAAGUUUCGGCGGUUGGGGAUGGACUCGCGGCUUAUCAGCUUGUUGGUGGGGUAGUGGCUUACCAAGGCUUUGACGGGUAGCCGGCCUGAGAGGGUGACCGGCCACAUUGGGACUGAGAUACGGCCCAGACUCCUACGGGAGGCAGCAGUGGGGAAUAUUGCACAAUGGGCGGAAGCCUGAUGCAGCAACGCCGCGUGCGGGAUGACGGCCUUCGGGUUGUAAACCGCUUUCGCCUGUGACGAAGCGUGAGUGACGGUAAUGGGUAAAGAAGCACCGGCUAACUACGUGCCAGCAGCCGCGGUGAUACGUAGGGUGCGAGCGUUGUCCGGAUUUAUUGGGCGUAAAGGGCUCGUAGGUGGUUGAUCGCGUCGGAAGUGUAAUCUUGGGGCUUAACCCUGAGCGUGCUUUCGAUACGGGUUGACUUGAGGAAGGUAGGGGAGAAUGGAAUUCCUGGUGGAGCGGUGGAAUGCGCAGAUAUCAGGAGGAACACCAGUGGCGAAGGCGGUUCUCUGGGCCUUUCCUGACGCUGAGGAGCGAAAGCGUGGGGAGCGAACAGGCUUAGAUACCCUAGUAGUCCACGCUGUAAACGGUGGGUACUAGGUGUGGGGUCCAUUCCACGGGUUCCGUGCCGUAGCUAACGCUUUAAGUACCCCGCCUGGGGAGUACGGCCGCAAGGCUAAAACUCAAAGGAAUUGACGGGGCCCCGCACAAGCGGCGGAGCAUGCGGAUUAAUUCGAUGCAACGCGUAGAACCUUACCUGGGUUUGACAUGGAUCGGGAGCGCUCAGAGAUGGGUGUGCCUCUUUUGGGGUCGGUUCACAGGUGGUGCAUGGCUGUCGUCAGCUCGUGUCGUGAGAUGUUGGGUUAAGUCCCGCAACGAGCGCAACCCUUGUUCACUGUUGCCAGCACGUUAUGGUGGGGACUCAGUGGAGACCGCCGGGGUCAACUCGGAGGAAGGUGGGGAUGACGUCAAGUCAUCAUGCCCCUUAUGUCCAGGGCUUCACGCAUGCUACAAUGGCUGGUACAGAGAGUGGCGAGCCUGUGAGGGUGAGCGAAUCUCGGAAAGCCGGUCUCAGUUCGGAUUGGGGUCUGCAACUCGACCUCAUGAAGUCGGAGUCGCUAGUAAUCGCAGAUCAGCAACGCUGCGGUGAAUACGUUCCCGGG
rnacentral:rRNA from 1 species